rnacentral:rRNA from 1 species
CAGCAGCCGCGGGAAUACGUAGGGUGCAAGCGUUAAUCGGAAUUACUGGGCGUAAAGCGUGCGCAGGCGGUUAUAUAAGACAGAUGUGAAAUCCCCGGGCUCAACCUGGGAACUGCAUUUGUGACUGUAUAGCUAGAGUACGGCAGAGGGGGAUGGAAUUCCGCGUGUAGCAGUGAAAUGCGUAGAUAUGCGGAGGAACACCGAUGGCGAAGGCAAUCCCCUGGGCCUGUACUGACGCUCAUGCACGAAAGCGUGGGGAGCAAACAGGAUUAGAUACCCGGGUAGUCCAUGUCUCUUAUAU